GGUAGCAAAUCAGUGACGUGGCAAAUAUUCGAUGCCAGCGAGGCCAUCUCGAACGUAUCGAAACCACGAAUCUUCUCCCUUCACGAAUCACAAAAAACCCUACCUGUCGCACUCCCUUGAUCCUUUUUCAUCGAAUCUGUAACUCCUUCAAAGGAGCUUGAAAUCGGCACCAGAGAUCCAUGGAGAGGAUCGUCGGAGAUAAGUACAAGUUAGGUCGCAAAAUUGGAAGCGGAUCAUUCGGUGAAAUCUUUCUCGCUACGCAUGUGGAUACACAUGAAAUUGUUGCUGUAAAAAUGGAAAAUAGGCAAACCAAGCACCCACAAUUGCUUUAUGAAGCCAAGCUAUACAAUUAUCUCCAGGGAAUAGUUGGAAUUGCUAGCAUCCAUUGGUCUGGGGUUGAUGUUGAGGACAAUGUUCUUGUUCUUGACCUUCUUGGGCCUAGUCUUGAGGAUCUAUUUGUUUAUUGUGGAAGAAAAUUCUCAUUGAAAACAGUUUUAAUGUUAGCUGAUCAAAUGCUUACAAGAAUAGAACUGAUGCAUGCUAAAGGAUUUCUACAUAGAGACUUGAAACCAGAUAAUUUUCUCAUGGGUCUAGGCAGGAAAGCAAAUCAGGUCUAUGUUAUUGACUUUGGACUUGCUAAAAGAUACCGUGAUCCCACCACAAGUUGCCAUAUUCCUUACAAAGCAAACAAAAACUUGACAGGAACUGCACGUUAUGCUAGCUGUAAUACCCAUUUGGGAAUUGAACAAAGUCGGCGUGAUGACUUGGAGUCUUUGGGUUAUGUUUUCUUGUACUUUUUGAGAGGAAGUCUUCCAUGGCAGGGUCUAAAAGGUGCAACAAAGAAGCAAAAAUAUGACAAAAUAUGUGAAAAGAAAGUAUCAACUCCUAUUGAGGUUUUAUGCAAGAAUCAUCAUGUGGAGUUUGCCUCUUACUUCCAAUAUUGCAGAUCUUUAACAUUUGAUCAAAGACCUGAUUAUGGAUUCUUGAAGCGCCUUUUUCGUGACUUAUUUACACGAGAAGGAUUUGAUUUUGAUUAUGUAUUUGAUUGGACAAUCUUAAAGCAUCAGCAGUCAGAAAAGAAUAAACCACAGAAUCACUCAACUAGUCGAGCAGUUCCUGGUGUGAUUAAUAGACCGAUGCCAGUUCAUUCAAAUAAGCGCCAAGGGGUAAAUGAUGAUUCCUACCAAAUUGGGGCAACAGAUCGCAGAAGAUCAAGCAAUAUGAUGAUGACUCGUCCUAAUGAAAAUAUUUCACUUGGGAAACACUUGACUAGUCCUACACCAAAGGCGUCUACCUCAUUCUCAAUGGGUGGCAACUUUGUUAAACCGGAUGAACCAAUUGACCCGACAAAAGCGACCCGCGGGUCGACUAGUUGGAUCCGAUCCUUACACCGUAAUCGGUAACGAGAACAGGAUCUGGAUUUUACUUGAAUUGGAAAUUAAAAAAAAAAGUUAAUUGCUUGGAAUUUGGAUGCAUCUGCUCAGGAUCACUUCACAUGUACCAGAGUUGUUGCGAAUGUGUAUGCCCUAACCCGUAUCAGCUUGUUGUAUAAAAUACAUGUUAAAUGGAUUUUGGUGGAAGAUGGUGGAUUUAUGGUUGUGGGUUGGUUGGAAAGCAAUUGUGAUGCGAGAUUUUAAGUAGAAGUAGCAGGAUGCAAGGCAAAGGGUUGGAAGAUUUGGUUAUAUAUAGUUUUAAUUACUCCUACUGCUGAAUCAAUGGAAAGCUUUAAAAUCUGUGUUGAUCAUGAAUGAAAUUCGUUGAAUGAAGCACAAACAAAAACGAAUAUGAUCAUGAUCAAUGAUCAUAUGGUAAAAUAUGACACAAUAUUGCAGUUGCUUGUGAAGGUGGCUGGCCUCAUGUACAAAGUAAAAACACAAGCAGCACAGGUGAAUUUCCUGUCUUUCUUUUUUUACAGCCUUUAAAAAUUGUUGUAACCCAUUUUAUAGGUGUUUAGGGUUUGAUUUUUGUAUUCAUCUGUAACUAUAAAGUUGAAUAGUGAAGCAAGUUAGGGUGUAAACAAGCCGAGCUCGAGCUUGGGAUUGAGCUGGUUUAAUAAAUGAGCCUGAGCUCGAGCCGAGCCGAGCUUUUAAUGAGCCAAUCCCGAGUAGCUCACAUGUAGUUAAAGCUCGUUUACACUCCUAGAAGCAAGCGACAAGUAGAUGCGUUAGUGAGUUAUGUUGUGACCAAUAUAAAAAAAUAUCAACGUUAUUAGCAUCCUAAUAUUUUAAUUUACUGGUGUUAGGGCUAAAAA